CAGUGGCGAACGGGUGAGUAACACGUGAGUAACCUGCCCCCGACUCUGGGAUAACUGCUAGAAAUGGUAGCUAAUACCGGAUAUGACGACUGGCCGCAUGGUCUGGUCGUGGAAAGAAUUUCGGUUGGGGAUGGACUCGCGGCCUAUCAGGUUGUUGGUGAGGUAAUGGCUCACCAAGCCUACGACGGGUAGCCGGCCUGAGAGGGUGACCGGCCACACUGGGACUGAGACACGGCCCAGACUCCUACGGGAGGCAGCAGUGGGGAAUAUUGCACAAUGGGCGAAAGCCUGAUGCAGCAACGCCGCGUGAGGGAUGACGGCCUUCGGGUUGUAAACCUCUUUUAGUAGGGAAGAAGCGAAAGUGACGGUACCUGCAGAAAAAGCACCGGCUAACUACGUGCCAGCAGCCGCGGUAAUACGUAGGGUGCAAGCGUUGUCCGGAAUUAUUGGGCGUAAAGAGCUCGUAGGCGGUUUGUCGCGUCUGCUGUGAAAUCCCGAGGCUCAACCUCGGGUCUGCAGUGGGUACGGGCAGACUAGAGUGCGGUAGGGGAGAUUGGAAUUCCUGGUGUAGCGGUGGAAUGCGCAGAUAUCAGGAGGAACACCGAUGGCGAAGGCAGAUCUCUGGGCCGUAACUGACGCUGAGGAGCGAAAGCAUGGGGAGCGAACAGGAUUAGAUACCCUGGUAGUCCAUGCCGUAAACGUUGGGAACUAGAUGUGGGGACCAUUCCACGGUCUCCGUGUCGCAGCUAACGCAUUAAGUUCCCCGCCUGGAGAGUACGGCCGCAAGGCUAAAACUCAGAGGAAUUGACGGGGGCCCGCACAAGCGGCGGAGCAUGCGGAUUAAUUCGAUGCAACGCGAAGAAC
rnacentral:rRNA from 1 species